UGAUGGCGAUGAUGAUUUUUAAACUUGAUCCCCCUGAUAAAUAUGAGGGUGUUCAGUCACUACCUCAUCUGAUGCCAUCU
ensembl:snoRNA small nucleolar RNA, C/D box 11B